rnacentral:misc_RNA from 1 species
AAGUCGUAACAAGGUUUCCGUAGGUGAACCUGCGGAAGGAUCAUUAACACUUUAAUCCUUUAUAAACAACUGAGAACAUGUACCUCUACCUGAGAGUAAAAUACCGUCAGACGGAUAGUGUAUGGUGAAAGUAGUUAAUUUAUUAACUACUAGCUAUCCACUGACUAGAAGCUCUAGAAGCUUCAGGUUUUUAUUUCUUCAGGCUUUUUUUUGCCAUCACCAUGGUAUAUUACUACUAUUAACAACUAUAAUUCAAAAUGAACUAAUCUAUGCUUCACUAGUAUUUAUACUAGUAGAAUCAAGUUUAUACGAAACUAAGAACAACUCUUAGCAAUGGAUAUCUUGGUUCCC